GACGAACGCUGGCGGCGUGCUUAACACAUGCAAGUCGAACGCUGAAGCUCAGCUUUUGUUGGGUGGAUGAGUGGCGAACGGGUGAGUAACACGUGAGUAACCUGCCUCCUUCUUUGGGAUAACGCCCGGAAACGGGUGCUAAUACUGGAUAUUCACUGGUCUUCGCAUGGGGGUUGGUGGAAAGGGUUUUUCUGGUGGGGGAUGGGCUCGCGGCCUAUCAGCUUGUUGGUGGGGUGAUGGCCUACCGAGGCUUUGACGGGUAGCCGGCCUGAGAGGGUGACCGGUCACAUUGGGACUGAGAUACGGCCCAGACUCCUACGGGAGGCAGCAGUGGGGAAUAUUGCACAAUGGGCGCAAGCCUGAUGCAGCGACGCCGCGUGAGGGAUGGAGGCCUUCGGGUUGUGAACCUCUUUCGCUCAUGGUCAAGCCGCAACAAUGGUUGUGGUGAGGGUAGUGGGUAAAGAAGCGCCGGCUAACUACGUG
rnacentral:rRNA from 1 species